GCAGACCUUUGGAUAUUCAGAAUUUUGCUUUGUUUUUGUUUUGUCUAUAUCGGAGUUUCCCCAAAGUGAUCACUAUAAUUCUCAAUUAUCUUUGGGGAAAUUGUGCCAGUUAGAAAGCUAUGCACAAAAAGGGAGCCAGCGUUUGGCCUGAAAGAGGCCGAGUUUUCGAUAGAAAAGACACCAUGGGAACUUCAGCGUGUCCACAGGAUGGUACUUGUGUGACACUGCGUCUUGGAGCCAACCAAAGACUAACCAGCAUCCAGGGUUGUCAAAAGCUUGGAAGACAAAGUCCUCAGAGCACACUGAUCAAGAGCUGGAUGACGUGGUGGGAGGAAUAAGCUCCUAAGCUUGCCAGUAUUCACAGCAAGGGGGUUUCCAAGAUCAACUGGGGGAACAUAAUGGAAUGAGUUAGAGUUUCCUGGGGAAACUGCCCCUGUGUGGACUGAAGGGGAGAGGCCCCGGGGAGGAAGGGAGGAAGCACACCUGGCCUCACCAAGUACAAUGCCAGAGUAGGCGAGCUGAGCCAGGGAGGGAAGAGGGGACAGAGGCUGCUCCUUCCCCUUAGCAAUGGCCUCAUGCUAAGGACAGGCCUGCAGCAGUCUCUGGGAAGGCCCAAGGCUACUAGCACCAACGGCGAAAGGCUGCUGGGCGAGCCCCUGGGGGCUGGGAAGGGAUUCAUUUCUCACUCAGCUCCAGCAGCCCUAUGGACUGCCCCACAUCGGGUGGGCACCACCAGGCAGGUGAGGAGAGGAGAAAAGCCUGCUUGAGUGACCUGGGGCCAGCCCAGAAGGACGACCAUUCCAUCUUCUGCCAGCACCAUGCGCUGGCUCCAUGGGACACACAGCAGCCGCUGCGUCCACAGAGUGGGGAACCUGCUCCCUCCACAGGCUCCUCCACCCCAGAACCUUCCGACAGGUAUGUCUAGAAGUCAGUUUGGACAGGGGCAGAAACCUCUAGACAUGUUUUUCUGGGUGAACGAGAUAAGCGGAGAAAUCACCUACCCCCCGCAGAAGGCAGAUGCACCUGCUGUUUCUCCUGGGAGCCCACAAGAGAAGCCCCCAUCUCGGCCCAGGAGCAUGCAGGGGGCUCCUUGCAGUCCCCAGGGCCCGCCUGCACAGAGGCCUGCCUCUGCACCUCCAUCUAAGGCUUCUCUGAAAGACUCAGGCUCAGGUAACCUCCGCCCAUCUGCACCGACCUGGGGCCAGGCCAAAGCCGGAGGAGUGAGGAGCCCCCCACUGUUCUCAGCAAUCCCUGUCACUAUCUCAUCACCAGGAGUGACUCUGCCCAUACUCGGGCCCCUGGGACCAGCCCCUCAGCCACUGGUCUCAACCUCUCCUCUCAGCCCUUCUGCACCCUGAGACUUCACCUGCAAGCUGAAAAAUGUCCUUACUGGGAAUAACUGGUUUUCCUUUUGAAUCUUAAGAAAAUUUGGCCACACUCUUUAAGCAUCUUCCUGAGCCACCCGUGGCCAGGCUCUGUGGGCCCCAUCUGCCUUCCCUGGAAGCACAGUCCUCACCCUGGGGGUCUCAGAGGAACGUGCCCAAUGCCUUCAAACCCAGUAAAAUCUUACUUAGAUUUUGACAUAACAUUUCCUAGAGCUUCCUUUACUUUCCUUUGAAAUAUCAAACCGUCUUGGUAUUUUACUCUUAAUUCUUUGGGCUUCCGACAUUGGUGUCAAAGCAAUAUGUUUAGUUUCCAGCCAGAGCCAGACCUCCUUGGGUGGGAAUGGGAACAAGUCAGGAUGACGGACCUGCAGGCCCAGUGUCCCUGGGGCACAGCCUGGGACCUCCUGGGCUUGAGGACAGCAUCCAGGGCAGGGAGGGGCUGGGGCCCUGCAUGGAGCUCCCUUUUGAGACAGCCUGAGGCUAGAGGAAGCCAGCAGUGGACACCACCCUUUUAGGCUGGGUCACCCCUGUCCCCAGCUCUGUGCUUUCUCUGGGUACUGCCUGUCAGCCCUCCAGGCAUGGAGUGACUCAGGCAGUGUGGGAAGCAGCCCCAUCACAGAUCUGGCCCUCCUUCAUCAGGCUGGCCAAGUGCUGGAGGAAGCCUUGCGGGUACAGGAGUGCGUCCUGGGGGAAGGACACAGACUUGACCUGGGGACACAGAAAGAACCUGGUUUGAGGAGAAGCUGCUGGAAAAGCCCCACUAGUGUCCCUGAACAGGUGCUGGGUGGCUCCAAGUUGUACCGGAGCAGCUCCAGGUGAAACGUGUCAUCAGGAUGGACUUGAAGUACACCAGGAACACCGGAGGGGAGUGGGGCAUGCAGAGCAAUGCCAGGUGGGUGCAGCCAGAAUCUGACGUGCAGCUGAGCCUUAGCCAGCCUUGCAGUGCAUCCUUGGCUUUGCCAGUGGAGCACUGUUCCCUGCCACGAGGAGCUUGAGUUGCUGGGUACCAAGGAAGUGGACUUCUGAGGGCGAGGAAGAGCAGAGCUACCCAGAAGAGGAGACCCUGGUGCUCCUGGUUCAUGGGUGCCUAAUGAACCCAUGGGAGGGUCCAUGCCCCUCAGCAGGCUACACCAGCCCAGCCCUGCAAUCAUCACACGCAGGUGUCUCCCAGGUUUCAUCUGAUUCUUGGCCGAACCCAGGCCUCCAGAGCCUUUCAUCCCAGGUGGGGCAGGUCAGAGGUCAAAGGUUAGGAUGGCUCCAUGUCUCUUUCCGACUAGGGCUUCUAUAUUAUUCCAGGACAUAGGCCCAUGGAGGACCCUGACCCUUCUGAGCUGGGGGCACGGGCCUGGGAUCCAGCCUCAAAUCUGCAGCCACUACGUCCUGUGACCUCGGCAGGAUUCUGCCUACCUUGGCCUCAGUUUCCCUCCCUGCACAAUAUGGGAGUGAGCAAGCCAGUCUGUCAAGCCUGCUCAACCUACAGGCUGUGACAAAGCACUGGGAACAAGAGGUAGCAUGGAGGUCAGCCCCGGGCUGAGGUCGGCUGAUCCCGAGGGCCUGGCUGCUUCUGAGGGUGGCAGAGGGCAGGGCCCAACAGCUCCACAGGGUGGGCAGGAGGACUGGUGUGCACUCCCUGUGCCCUUUGCAGGGUGGCCUUGAUGAAGUCCUUGGUGUCACUGUUGGUGGGCACUCAUGACGUGCUCCAGGACAUCCACCUGUGCAUGGCCACGUGGUCAGCAAACAACGGAGAUCAGGCCAGGCUGGAGGGCAGAGGGAGGGCCGGAGCCUGCAAGGUCAUCUGGGCCCUGGGCCUUGGAGGGAAAGGUUGCCAGGGCAGGGGCUGUGGGUCUCUCGCGCAGAGUGACUAGGACCAGGGCCUCCAGUCCUAACCUGGCUUGGGCUCUUAAGCCCCAUGCUCCUCCAACCACAAGAGCCCCAGCAAGUAUCAUAGAGCUGCCCAGAGGGAUACAAGCCCAGCCUGCAGCAGGAAUCUGAGUUCACCCUGGGGUGGAGAUCAGGGCUCAGUGUACACCAGCAGAGUCUCCAGGGCAACAAAUCCCCUGGACAGUCCACCUAGAGCCUUUGUGGGACAGCAUGGCUCAGUGCUCUGCCCUGUGGCCUGGCAGGGCCUCUUCUGCUGACAGUGGAUGUAUGAAAAAACCUGGGCAGCAGUUUCCUAUUAAAGUUCACCUUGUUGCCCAUUUCCAAGACAGUUAUCAGUUUGAGCUCUCAGGGUCUCUAAUUUGAAAAGACAACCGACAGUGGGUGUGGCCCCACUUCACGUGGACUUGGUGCCCUGUGUUGGAUGACAGGGGCCUUGCAGUUAAUAAAACAGUAACUUCUCCCCA
ensembl:lncRNA